rnacentral:rRNA from 1 species
AACGAACGCUGGCGGCAUGCCUAACACAUGCAAGUCGAACGAGACCUUCGGGUCUAGUGGCGCACGGGUGCGUAACGCGUGGGAACCUGCCCUUAGGUUCGGAAUAACUCCCCGAAAGGGGUGCUAAUACCGGAUAAUGUCUUCGGACCAAAGAUUUAUCGCCUUUGGAUGGGCCCGCGUUGGAUUAGCUAGUUGGUAGGGUAAAAGCCUACCAAGGCGACGAUCCAUAGCUGGUCUGAGAGGAUGAUCAGCCACACUGGGACUGAGACACGGCCCAGACUCCUCCGGGAGGCAGCAGUGGGGAAUAUUGGAAAAUGGGCGAAAGCAUGAUCCAGCAAUGCCGCGUGAGUGAUGAAGGCCUUAGGGUUGUAAAGCUCUUUUACCCGGGAUGAUAAUGACAGUACCGGGAGAAUAAGCGCCGGCUAACUCCGUG